AGCGAACGCUGGCGGUAGGCCUAACACAUGCAAGUCGAACGGCAGCACAGUAAGAGCUUGCUCUUACGGGUGGCGAGUGGCGGACGGGUGAGGAAUAUAUCGGAAUCUACUUUUUCGUGGGGGUUAACGUAGGGAAACUUACGCUAAUACCGCAUAUGCCCUACGGGUGAAAGCAGUGGAUCUUUGGACCUUGCGCGAUUGAAUGCGCCGAUGUUGGAUUAGCUAGUUGGCGGGGUAAAUGCCCACCAAGUCGACGAUCCGUAGCCCGUCUGAGAGGACGGUCGGCCACACUGGAGGGGGAACACGGUCAAGACGCCUGAGGUAGGGAGCAGAGGGGAAUGGUGGGCAAUGGGCGCAAGCCUUAUCCAGCCAUAGCGCGUGGGAGAAGAAGGCCUUCGGGUUGUGAAGCCCGUUUGUUGGGAGAGAAAAGCAGCAGGUUAAUACCCCGCUGUUCUGACGGUACCCAGAGAAUAAGCACCGGCUAACUUCGUG
rnacentral:rRNA from 1 species